rnacentral:rRNA from 1 species
UGGGGAAUAUUGGACAAUGGGGGGAACCCUGAUCCAGCCAUGCCGCGUGUGUGAAGAAGGCCUUUUGGUUGUAAAGCACUUUAAGCGAGGAGGAGGCUACUGAGACUAAUACUCUUGGAUAGUGGACGUUACUCGCAGAAUAAGCACCGGCUAACUCUGUCCAGCAGCCGCGGUAAU